rnacentral:rRNA from 1 species
UACGUAGGUGGCGAGCGUUAUCCGGAAUUAUUGGGCGUAAAGAGCGCGCAGGUGGUUGAUUAAGUCUGAUGUGAAAGCCCACGGCUUAACCGUGGAGGGUCAUUGGAAACUGGUCGACUUGAGUGCAGAAGAGGGAAGUGGAAUUCCAUGUGUAGCGGUGAAAUGCGUAGAGAUAUGGAGGAACACCAGUGGCGAAGGCGGGUAACUGGACUGCAACUGACGCUGAGGCGCGAAGGUGUGGGGAGCAAACAGGAUUAGAUA